rnacentral:rRNA from 1 species
GUGAGGAAUUUUCCGCAAUGGGCGAAAGCCUGACGGAGCAAUGCCGCGUGAAGGAUGAAGGCCUAUGUGUUGUAAACUUCUUUUCUCAGAAAAGAAUUAUGACGGUAUCUGAGGAAUAAGCAUCGGCUAACUCUGUGCCAGCAGCCGCGGUAAGACAGAGGAUGCAAGCGUUAUCCGGAAUGAUUGGGCGUAAAGCGUCUGUAGGUUUUUUAAAAAGUAUUCUGUCAAAGAUUAGGUCUUAACACUAGAUAGGCAGAAUAAACUUUUAAGCUAGAGUUUGGUAGAGGCAGAGGGAAUUCCCGGUGGAGCGGUGAAAUGCGUAGAUAUCGGGAGGAACACCAAAGGCGAAGGCACUCUGCUGGGCCAAUACUAACACGGAGAGACGAAAGCGAGGGGAGCAAAUGGUAUUAGAAUCCCGGGUAGUCC